CUCAUCGCAUCCUGGGGCUGUACAAGGUCCCAAGGGUUGGGCUGUUCGCCCAUUAAAGCGGUACGUGAGCUGGGUUCAGACCGUCGUGAGACAGGUCGGUCUCUAUCCACUGUGGGCGUAGGGAAUUUGAGGAAACCUGCCUUUAGUACGAGAGGACCGAGGUGGAGCGACCUCUGGUGCGUCGGUUGUCAUGCCAAUGGCAUUGCCGAGUAGCUACGUCGCGAUGAGAUAACCGCUGAAUGCAUCUAAGUGGGAAACUCAUUCCAAGAUUAGAUUCCCCAUGGCGUAAGCCAGUAAGACCACCAGUAGACCACUGGUUAUAUAGGUGUCGCGUGUACAGCAGUAAUGCGUAGCGGAGACAUCCUAAUCGGUCGAGGGCUUAGUCCAA
rnacentral:rRNA from 1 species